ACCCCGCCCCCAACAGCUAGCCCACCCCUAAAACACAACAACCAACAUUAAUAACCCCAAAUACCACAAUACUUUCCAAAUAAACCAUUUUUCCUCCUCAGUAUGGGAGACAGAAAAGGAUC
rnacentral:rRNA from 1 species